UACGAAGGGAGCUAGCGUUGUUCGGAAUUACUGGGCGUAAAGGGCGCGUAGGCGGACAUCUAAGUCAGGGGUGAAAUCCCAGGGCUCAACCCUGGAAUUGCCUUUGAUACUGGACGUCUCGAGUUCGGGAGAGGUGAGUGGAAUUCCGAGUGUAGAGGUGAAAUUCGUAGAUAUUCGGAGGAACACCAGAAGCGAAGGCGGCUCACUGGCCCGAUACUGACGCUGAGGCGCGAAAGCGUGGGGAGCAAACAGG
rnacentral:rRNA from 1 species